rnacentral:misc_RNA from 1 species
GUAAAACGGGACGGCCCGCCCGAGGACCCCUAAACUCUGUUUUUAGUGGAACUUCUGAGUAAAACAAACAAAUAAAUCAAAACUUUCAACAACGGAUCUCUUGGUUCUGGCAUCGAUGAAGAACGCAGCAAAAUGCGAUAAGUAAUGUGAAUUGCAGAAUUCAGUGAAUCAUCGAAUCUUUGAACGCACAUUGCGCCCGCCAGUAUUCUGGCGGGCAUGCCUGUUCGAGCGUCAUUUCAACCCUCAAGCUCAGCUUGGUGUUGGGACUCGCGGUAACCCGCGUUCCCCAAAUCGAUUGGCGGUCACGUCGAGCUUCCAUAGCGUAGUAAUCAUACACCUCGUUACUGG